CGAUCUCGUCUGAUCUCAGAAGUCAAGCAAUCUCGGGCUUGGUUAGUACUUGGAUGGGUGACCGCUUGGGAAUACCAAGUGUGAUAAGCA
rnacentral:rRNA from 1 species